UGUGACUAAUGAGCCAACAGAGGGAGUAGAAAUUGUUUAUAAUGGGACCCUAUGUAGAUAUUAUCUUUCUUUCAGUGAUGCAUUAAACAGAAGCUCAAAAACCAAAGGUACAGCUACAACAUAGAGGACGUUCGCCAUAAAAUUAUAUUCACUUUAAAAGAGCCAAAGCAGCUCAUGGGGUUUUCCCCAAAAAGCUACUUAUGGUGAAGUCCCUCUUCCUUCCAGAGCUGCAUUCUUCCUCUUCUUGAAAUGAACUAUAUCUUCCAAAAUAGACUGAGACACUUGAACUCACUGCACUAUACACCUCUAGAUCAGUUUUAACCAAUGGUGCUGUCUGCACAACACUAGAUGGUUCUGAUGACACUACUGAAUUAGCAGUACUAAUGGCUGCAGAAGUAACACUGCAUUCCCCAUUGCAGUAGUCUUAUCCAAGUGUUUCCAAUUAUAACAGUUGUCGAUUGAUGGGAGGCUGAUAUGAGGCCUAACCAGGUAGAUAUCUUGAUAAAAGACUGCAGUUGGAUCCACUUUUCUCUGGGAUGAAGAUUUUCACUGUCUUCAGAUCUAUUGAAUUAUCCUGAAUGCUGUAGGUACUGAUCACCACCUAUCACCACCACUUAUCACAAAGGAUUAGUAUUUCUUAAUCUUAUCUAACACUAUUUGUAUAUCAGACUAAUUGGGAGAGCUGUGGUUCAGUGAUAGUUUCAUCAUAGGGCUAGAACUCAGGAAGCUGUAUUUCUAACACCAGUUCUGAUCCCGAUUCCCUCUGGUCUUGGGCAUGUUACUUCAUUAUUCUGCUUCAGUUUCUCCACCUGUAACACAGGGAGGACAAUAUACAGCUAUCAUAAAGGUAGUUGUGAGGAUUUAUUAGAUAAUGACUGAUAAGAAUUUGAAUAUAAAGUGUUAUAGAAAUCAAGCUAUUAAUACUAUUCCUAAGAUGACACAGACUGAAGAGAUGUA